GGGUUGUGAGGUUAAGCGACUAAGCGUACACGGUGGAUGCCCUGGCAGUCAGAGGCGAUGAAGGRCGUGCUAAUCUGCGAUAAGCGCCGGUAAGGUGAUAUGAACCGUUAUAACCGGCGAUWYCCGAAUGGGGAAACCCAGUGUGAYUCGUCACACUAUCAUUAACUGAAUCCAUAGGUUAAUGAGGCGAACCGGGGGAACUGAAACAUCUAAGUACCCCGAGGAAAAGAAAUCAAC
rnacentral:rRNA from 1 species